rnacentral:siRNA from 1 species
AAGUCCUGACAUUGAUUAUGAAAA